rnacentral:rRNA from 1 species
CCAGCAGCCGCGGUAAUUCCAGCUCCAAUAGCGUAUAUUAAUGUUGUUGCAGUAAAAAAGCUCGUAGUUGGAUUUCUGGUUGGAGCGUCGGCCCGUUUAACGAGUGCUAGACGUCUCUCGCCAUCCUUGCGGGAAGGCAUGGCAUUAACUUGUCGUGUCGGAUCGCAUCAUUUACUGUGAAAAAAUUAGAGUGUUCAAAGCAGGCUUACGCUUGAAUACAUUAGCAUGGAAUAAUAAGAUAGGACUUUGGUGCUAUUUUGUUGGUUGAGCCCGAAGUAAUGAUUAAUAGGGAUAGUUGGGGGUAUUCAUAUUUCGUUGUCAGAGGUGAAAUUCUUGGAUUUACGAAAGAUGAACAACUGCGAAAGCAUUUACCAAGGAUGUUUUCAUUAA